AUAGUACUCCCUCCGUCCAUAAAUACUUGUCAUCAAAAUGGAUAAAAGGAGAUGUAUGUACGCGUAUUUUAGUUCUAGAUACAUCAUUUUUUAUUCAUUUUGAUGAAAAGUAUUUUCGGUCGGAGGGAGUAGACA
rfam:Triticum aestivum genome assembly, contig: Triticum_aestivum_CS42_TGACv1_scaffold_321188_4BL